UACGUAUGGUGCAAGCGUUAUCCGGAUUUACUGGGUGUAAAGGGAGCGCAGGCGGCGCGUUAAGCCUGGUGUGAAAGCCCGCGGCCCAACCGCGGGACUGCAUUGGGGACUGGCGCGCUGGAGUGCCGGAGGGGUAGGCGGAAUUCCUAGUGUAGCGGUGAAAUGCGUAGAUAUUAGGAGGAACACCAGUGGCGAAGGCGGCCUACUGGACGGUGACUGACGCUGAGGCUCGAAAGUGUGGGGAGCAAACAGG
rnacentral:rRNA from 1 species